rnacentral:rRNA from 1 species
CAGCAGCCGCGGGAAUACGUAGGGCGCAAGCGUUAUCCGGAAUUAUUGGGCGUAAAGAGCUCGUAGGCGGUUUGUCGCGUCUGCCGUGAAAGUCCGGGACUCAACCCCGGAUCUGCGGUGGGUACGGGCAGACUAGAGUGAUGUAGGGGAGACUGGAAUUCCUGGUGUAGCGGUGAAAUGCGCAGAUAUCAGGAGGAACACCGAUGGCGAAGGCAGGUCUCUGGGCAUUAACUGACGCUGAGGAGCGAAAGCAUGGGGAGCGAACAGGAUUAGAUACCCCCGUAGUCCCUGUCUCUUAUAC